GGCUGUCCUCAGUGCUAGGUCACAGUAGGUGGCUCAGCAGAGGACUCUGCAGAUGUGACUCAGCUCCCUCACCAGUUGACUCUAAGCUGACCAGGAGGGACACGUGAUGGGUACGGCCACUAGGUCCUGGCAGGCAAGCCCUUUAUGUCUCAGAAAAGGAAAAGAGCUGGGAGACUCCACCCAGGUUGCGAAGGUCAUGACCUGCCUUGCAGCGGGAGGGAAGGGACACGUCACAGUCCAGACUGGAGAGCUGAGGGUGGACGGGGAGCCCAGCUGGAGUGCUGCAGCAGAAGCAGCCGAGUCUGGGAUGUUUAUUACUCAGCCUGAACCGGAACACCGCGAGACAAGAACAGAAACCGCCUGGGGUUUACAAAGCGAAGCCUCUGCACACGCCUCUGCCCCUUUAGUCCCAGCCAGGGUACCUGCUACUGUGCCUCGGGGACAGGCAGCCUGCCUGGCACAGGCCUCCCCACGCCAGGCUGGGGGCACAGCUGGCAAGUCGAGGCCCCCGUGGGGAACUCGGGCUUGUGUGGGGUGAGCUGCUGGUCCUGGAGAGCCUGGCCUAGGGCCCUUGGCCACACGGCAGCAGCACCAGGGCCCCAGCCAGGCUCGGGGUCGGGGGAGGCUGUGCCACCCUGCCUGGCCCAGCAGCAGUCCUGGGUGGAGGUGCUGGGACGCCCUCCCCAGGGGAGCAGCCUCCCUGCUCCUGCUCCUCAGGAGGCCCCAGGACGCUUGCGGCAGUAACUGAGCGCGCACAGAAACGGAGCUUCCCAGCGAGUGGCUGGGCUCGUCUGGGAUUCUGCUGCCAACAGGAGGGAAGCCCUGGCCCCUCCAGGAACCCUGUUCCCAUCCUCACACAGGAGGCCAGGUCAAGCGUGACUGCCGCCCAGCCCAACGGCCACUGCUUUCUGGAGCCGGUCUCUGCCCUGAAGCUGGAGCUUCUGGUCCUCUCACACGAGUGCCCAGUCAAGCAGCACCCAGGCCUCCUGGUGGGCAGCCCCGCAGUGCAGACCACUGCUACCUCAGGGGCUGCUUGAGCUCAAACAGGCCUGUCCCACCCUUGACGACCUUCCCAACCACGAGGCAGGCCGAAGGGGACCUCAGUUCGUCGUGGGAUCCUGCGAGAGACACGAACCGUAUCAGAGGGCUGAGGGGAAGUUGGGGAUGAGGUGAGGGCCCCGGGGACUCCCUGUGAGGCCCAGGACCAUCCUGAGUCCCUGAGGUUGAGGUCCCAUGCUAUGGGUCUCUCCAGCAGAAGCCUUUAGGACGAUGUGCGGCGGUCCCAUCUGCUGCCACCCCUUUACCCCCCAUAGACCCAAACCUGCACUUGUAUGCAAGGUGCAGUGGAAAGGUCCCCAAGGGAUGGCCAGGUGGCCGGAGGGAGGCCACCCCUGCACUGACCCAUCAUGGUGGCCUGCUUCAGAAACUGGAAACUGGUUUCAAACGUCAUCUGCUGGAGAGGGGAGGAGUUUGACCGGAUGCCAAGGCGGUUCAGCGGCUUGUAGAUGCCCUCGAAGCACAUGUAAUCGGCAACCAGGGAGAGAUGGCGAGGGUCGACGGCAAUGCCUGAGGCCAAGCGGUGACAGGGAUGCUAGCUGGGCUGCCUCCCAGUCAGAGCUGGGGCCUGGGGGCCGGGCGCUGCCCUGGGCUCCCUGCCUCCCGCUCCCUCCCAGCAGCAUGGGAUGCGAAACCUAACCACCGUCUGGGGGCGGGUACCCUGGUGACAGGGUGGGACCAGGUCUGGGGGCUCCCGGAGGAGACGCUGCUGAGGGUCGAGGGCCGGCCGUCCAAUGGCACACGAGCACCCGCACUGGGGCCUGCCCCGAUGUGACCCUCUGCUGGCUGCCCGUGCUGAGGCCUGCGCCCUGAGGGCCUCCUCCACGCUCCUACCAUACACAGCAAACACGUCCUUGAUCUCCUUCUCGAUCACCCGCAGGGCAGCCUCAAUGCCGUACGUGCUGGCCAUGGCAUGGAUGUCAUUGGAGUAGAGGCGGCGCAGAUCCAGCACCUGGGGACAGGAAGGAGGGACUCACGCCGGUCCGCAUGUUGACCUGCCCACCACACUCUGAGCCUGGCGGCCGAGUGCGGCAUGACGGUCACGAGGAGGCAGGCUGGCCAGGUCCUGCCUGUGGCAGGUUCAGUGAGAACAGUCUUGUUCACCACUUCUAACAGGCCCUUUACCAAGACUCCCUCACAGGCCUCCCUCACAGGGUGCACAGGGCAUACAGGCCAGCCACAGUAGUCUGCAAGCCUGGGCCAGGGGUCUGUGGCUCUGAGCUGUCCUGCAGGGGCCCUGGGGGUCCUGCCCUGAGGCUGGAGGGGGCAUAGCCCCGGGAGACAAGCAGAGACAGGCCCUGGUCCCUCCAGGUGGAGCCCAGAGGCUGACAGGGGAGCGCAGGCUCUUCCCACUCACCUCGGGAAGCACCAGGACACCCCUGGAGGGGUGUGCAGGGCAGAGGCCCCAGUCCCUCGGUCUCCCGUGGGGAAGCCUGGUGCCUGGUGAGCAGGCGGGCGGGAGUGCAGGGCCAGGCGGGCACCCAGGUGCCUGGAGCCACAAAGGUCCUGACAAUGACUGUCAGAAGGCUGUGCUCAGACCGGUCUGGGAAGCUCGGGCCCAAGGUGGCCAGGCUGACCGGGAGCCUGAGGUGGCAAGGGGAAGGAAGGCAGUGAGGGGAAGGGAGGCGGCACCUCGGCGAACUUGAACAGCUCCGGGAGGUUGGUCCCCUCCGCGUGCAGCACCAGCUCCUUCUCGCCUCUGCUGGUGGUGGUCUCGUUCAGGAGGCACCUGGUGAUGCCCCUGGCGCUGUAGACCACGGCGCUGUGGGCCAGGGACUCGAGCAGGGAGCCCAUGUCAAAGUUAGCCUUCCCGAGAGGGAGCCUCACGGUCACCUGCGGAAGGGCAGAGCUGAGCAGGUGCGGCCUGGCGGGGAGGGCGCCUGAGUCCAGCCACCCACGUUCCAGGCAGACGCUGGAGUGCCUGGGCUCAGGGCACUCGGCUGCGCCUGUGCCCUCUCAGUGACCGCCAUCAUGGCACCCGCGUCAUGCCACCAACACCACCAUCCGGGAACCCCUCAGCUGGCCCCCAGGGAGGACAGACGCCUCUAAAGGUGAGGCACCUGACCACUCGGGGCAGUGGCCAGGGGCCUGCUGCUGGCGGAAGUGAGACUCCACAGCUGUAGCGUGGGCCUCGGUAUCUGGGGGCCUGAGCGAGGUGAUGCGGGGGGAAGACGUCACCCCGAGCCACCAGAGGGACACCUGCAGGCUGUGCUUUGGGGCAGAGGGUCUGUGCCACCAUUAGUUCCAAAGGGGUCCUGGGAGGAGGCCUGGUGGCCACCAGCUCCCCGCUGCCUGCUGUGGGAGUCCCAGCCGGGCGCCACGCUGACCUGGCACCAGAGGCUCUCCGCGGCGUCGUACUGGUAGUCCUGGAUGAAGGAGUGGGCCUCGCGCACCGCCUGGACCCGGCGCUCCACGGCCUCGGCUCCCUUGGGCCCUGGGCUAGGCGGAGGGCUCUGGGGCAAGUCCUCCUCGGGGCCUGAGCCCACCUCCUCGUCUGGCUCUGGGGCCUGGGCGUCCCCUUCCUCCUGCGCGUCCUCCUCCUCCUGCUCCUCCUCCUCCUCACUCUCGUAGUCCACCUGGGAAAGCAGUGCGCAGCUGUCCCCAGGGCACCCCCAGCCUACUGCCCACGCUCCCCUUCUCUGCUCCCACCUGGGAAGGCCACCCUUGGUCCUCUGGCCUGCCCUGGACCUUGCAGGGGCUGCCCGUGGGACUGGCUGGGGAAGGGGCGGCACCACACUGCCCUGCACAAGGGAGGCACCUACUUCCCGCCAAGGCUUCCCUGGGUCCCGAGUCUGUUCAAGCCCAGGGUCAGCCAGACCCACAGGGCACCUGAGACGGCCCUGCCGCAGAGCUGGCCCACGUUCUGGAGGGUUCCAGCACAACCGGGUGUGGC